rnacentral:rRNA from 1 species
AGGCGUGGGGGCGGGGCCUAAUACAUGCAAGUCGACGAACUUCCGUUAAUUGAUUAUGACGUACUUGUACUGAUUGAGAUUUUAACACGAAGUGAGUGGCGAACGGGUGAGUAACACGUGGGUAACCUGCCCAGAAGUAGGGGAUAACACCUGGAAACAGAUGCUAAUACCGUAUAACAGAGAAAACCGCAUGGUUUUCUUUUAAAAGAUGGCUCUGCUAUCACUUCUGGAUGGACCCGCGGCGUAUUAGCUAGUUGGUGAGGUAAAGGCUCACCAAGGCAGUGAUACGUAGCCGACCUGAGAGGGUAAUCGGCCACAUUGGGACUGAGACACGGCCCAGACUCCUACGGGAGGCAGCAGUAGGGAAUCUUCCACAAUGGACGCAAGUCUGAUGGAGCAACGCCGCGUGAGUGAAGAAGGGUUUCGGCUCGUAAAGCUCUGUUGUUAAAGAAGAACGUGGGUAAGAGUAACUGUUUACCCAGUGACGGUAUUUAACCAGAAAGCCACGGCUAACUACGUGCCAGCAGCCGCGGUAAUACGUAGGUGGCAAGCGUUAUCCGGAUUUAUUGGGCGUAAAGCGAGCGCAGGCGGUCUUUUAAGUCUAAUGUGAAAGCCUUCGGCUCAACCGAAGAAGUGCAUUGGAAACUGGGAGACUUGAGUGCAGAAGAGGACAGUGGAACUCCAUGUGUAGCGGUGAAAUGCGUAGAUAUAUGGAAGAACACCAGUGGCGAAGGCGGCUGUCUGGUCUGCAACUGACGCUGAGGCUCGAAAGCAUGGGUAGCGAACAGGAUUAGAUACCCUGGUAGUCCAUGCCGUAAACGAUGAUUACUAAGUGUUGGAGGGUUUCCGCCCUUCAGUGCUGCAGCUAACGCAUUAAGUAAUCCGCCUGGGGAGUACGACCGCAAGGUUGAAACUCAAAAGAAUUGACGGGGGCCCGCACAAGCGGUGGAGCAUGUGGUUUAAUUCGAAGCUACGCGAAGAACCUUACCAGGUCUUGACAUCUUCUGACAG